AACGAACGCUGGCGGCAUGCCUAACACAUGCAAGUCGAACGAGACCUUCGGGUCUAGGGGCGCACGGGUGCGUAACGCGUGGGAACCUGCCCUUAGGUUCGGAAUAACUCCCCGAAAGGGGUGCUAAUACCGGAUAAUGUCUUCGGACCAAAGAUUUAUCGCCUUUGGAUGGGCCCGCGUUGGAUUAGCUAGUUGGUAGGGUAAAAGCCUACCAAGGGGAUGAUCCAUAGCUGGUCUGAGAGGAGGAUAAGCCGGAAUUGGACUGAGGCACGGCCCACACUCCGACGGAAGGCAGCAGUAGGGAAUAUUGGAGACUGGGGGAAAGCCUGAUCCAGCAAUGCCGCGGGAGAGAUGAAGGCCUUUGUGUUGUACAGCCGCCUUACCCGGGAUGAUAAUGACAGUACCGGGAGAAUAAGCACCGGCUAACUCCGUG
rnacentral:rRNA from 1 species